rnacentral:tRNA from 1 species
AGAAGUGUGCCCGAGCUGUAGGGGUUAUUUUGAUGAGAUAAACACAGAGAUUGAACCUCUCACCUCUA